rnacentral:rRNA from 1 species
CAGUAAUGAAUAUACUCCUUUAGGAUAUUGGCUCGACUCACAUGUGCCGCCUCCAUGCGGCGCCGGAGUCGUUGGCAUCAGCGCGGUAUACGAGGUGCAGCGUGAUCGGAAUACUGGCGGAAUCCGGGUAAGGGUUGAUAACGAGAUGUAAACCCCGGGCUAACCUGGGACAGCAUUGGAACCGUCAGGCUAGAGUGGGUAGAGGGUAUAGAAUUUCCAGAUAGCGGGAAAUGGGUAAUUUAGGAAGAUCACCGGUGCGAAGGGGGUAGCUGGACCAACACUGGCUUGAGGUCGAAAGCGGGGGCGCACCAGGAUUAGAACCCGGGUGUCCACGCCGAACCGAUUCUACUAGCCGUAGGACUCUGGAGUCUUAGUGGCGCAGUUACGCACUAAGUAGACCGCCUGGGGAGUCGGCCGCAAGGUUAAACUCAAAUGAAUGACGGGGGCCCGCACAAGCGGUAGAGCAUGUGGUUUAAUUCGAUGCAACGCGAAGAACCUUACCUGGCCUUGACAUGCUGGGAACUUUCUAGAGAUAGAUUGGUGCCUUCGGGAGCCAAGUGACAGGUGGUGCAUGGCUGUCGUCAGCUCGUGUCGUGAGAUGUUGGGUUAAGUCCCGUAACGAGCGCAACCCUUGUCCCUAGUUGCCAGCCCGUAAGGGUGGGAACUCUAGGGAGGCAGCCGGUGGCAAACCGGAGGGAGGAGGGGGGGGACGUCAAAUACAUCAUGGCUCCGUCACGGCGUGGGCGGCACCCCUGCUGCAACAGGCAGUGCAGAGGGCAGCAAAGUAGCAGGGACGAGCAAAUACUCCCAAAAAGUUGGUAGUCCGGAGGGGAGUAGUCAACUACUCUCCACCAAGUAGGAAGAAUUAGUAAUCAUCGAACAGAAGAACGCGGCGGAGAAGUUGCCCCGGCCCUGUACACACCCUCCUAGAGACCACGGGAGAGGGGUGCAACAAGAAAAGG